GAGAGAGAGAGAGAGAGAGAGAGAGAGAGAGAGAGAGAGAGAGAGAGAGAGAACGGCCCAAUACUAACAGAGUCCUCUGAUCUCCUCUCUAGAAAGGCCUCUAAGCAAGAGUGAAGCCAAGGCAUCUCUGUUUGAAUAAACGAGGGGCAGCUCCAGUGUAAAGAUACAGUCUGCAAGGCAGAGUGGUCAAGUUCAGAGCUGACAACAUGCGCUGGGGCCUCAGUGGAGGGCAGGAUGAAGCCAGGCGAAAAAAUACAACAGAGAUAAGAGGAAGAGAAAGGAGAGGCAGGAGACGCCAUCCUGUCGUCCAGGGAGCAGCGUGUAAUGGGACGCAGGCGCAGGCUCCCGCUGAACUGAAAACUCGCUGUUCCAGCUAGUCUGGCUGGCUGGUGGGACCUCAAGAUCCUCUGUCUUCACUCCAGAGUGCUGGAGUUACAGGCAUGCACAGCCAUGCCCGGCUUUUUAGGGGGAUACUGGGGAUUCGAACUCAGCCCUUCACGCCCACAGAGUAAGCUGUUCUACCCACUGAGCCACCCUCCUAACUCCUUGUGGAAGAUUUUUAAUAAAAAAAUGCUUUAUGUGAAGUUUGUUUGUCUGUUUUCCUUCCCUUUUUCCUUUUCUUCAGAGGUGUUGGGGAUAAAAGUUGGACA